CCUACGGGAGGCAGCAGUGGGGAAUAUUGCACAAUGGGGGAAACCCUGAUGCAGCGACGCCGCGUGAGUGAAGAAGUAUUUCGGUAUGUAAAGCUCUAUCAGCAGGAACGAGACAAGACGGUACCUGACUAAGAAGCCCCGGCUAACUACGUGCCAGCAGCCGCGGUAAUACGUAGGGGGCAAGCGUUAUCCGGAAUCACUGGGUGUAAAGGGAGCGUAGACGGCUGAGCAAGCCUGAAGUGAAAGGCGGUGGCCGAACCCCCGGACUGCUUUGGGAACUGUACGGCUGGAGUGCAGGAGAGGUAAGUGGAAUUCCUAGUGUAGCGGUGAAAUGCGUAGAUAUUAGGAGGAACACCAGUGGCGAAGGCGGCUUACUGGACUGUAACUGACGUUGAGGCUCGAAAGCGUGGGGAGCAAACAGGAUUAGAUACCCGUGUAGUC
rnacentral:rRNA from 1 species